GAUGAAGAACGUAGCGAAAUGCGAUAAGUAGUGUGAAUUGCAGAAUUCAGUGAAUCAUCGAAUCUUUGAACGCACAUUGCGCCCCUUGGUAUCCCGAGGGGCAUGCCUGUUCGAGCGUCAUUUCACCACUCAAGCCUGGCUUGGUGUGGGGCGACGUCCUCUUUGGGGACGCGCCUCGAAACGCUCGGCGGCGUGGCACCGGCUUUAAGCGUAGCAGAAUCUUUCGCUUUGGAAGUCGGGGCCCCGUCUGCCGGAAGACCUGCUCGCAAGGUUGACCUCGGAUCAGGCAGGGAUACCCGCUGAACUUAAGCAUAUCAAUAAGCGGAGGA
rnacentral:misc_RNA from 1 species